GGAGCGGUGUCCGAGUGGUUGAAGGUGGCAGUCUUGAAAACUGCUGGGUGGCAACAUCCCGGGGGUUCGAAUCCCCCCUGCUCCG
rnacentral:tRNA from 1 species